rnacentral:lncRNA from 1 species
ACUUGAAUAAGAUAACUUCUGAGAAUAAAUUUAUGCACUAUUUUGGAAGAAUUGCUCUAUAGAGUAAAAAAUAAUUCUGGAUAAUUGAAAGUUAUCUUGUGAGUAUCUGGACAUUAAGGAUACAUUUCAAGACUCCUGUUUUCACUAAAAUCCAAUAUUUGUUUAAGCACUUCAAGUUAAAGAGGAGCACCUUCCCCUUUCACCCUGACUAUCGUUGUUAAUUCGUUUUUGAAGCUAUAUAAGAACGUUUCUUUAAUCGGUUUUCCCUUAGGCAUACAUUAGCUCUCUGUUCAAGACUUAGUAGCAGAGAGUAGUAAGUAAAUGGUUAUUAGUGGUUCUUCAUAUAAAACACAUUUGAGUUUCUUAGAAGAAAAUUAUGCAUAAAGAUUACUUUCAGAUAUCAUGUCUGUAGUUCGUUAAUAGAGAAGUUUCUCUGAACGUGUAGAACACUGUAAUAAGAUAAAUAAAUUUUUAAAAAGAAAAAGUAAGCAUAUAUACAAAA